rnacentral:lncRNA from 1 species
GAUAGAGAUCCACUAGAUCUAGGCUAGCAAUCAAUAUAGAGAUUAGAGAGAGAUAGAGUAGAGGAGUAGAGAUUCGGAGGAGUCCCGGCCUGUCAGAGCUUCCUCAGGAGCUGUAUUCGUCUGGAUUCGGCUCCCUCGCCCGGAACCGCGUUCUUAGGUAAUUUUGUAUUUACCCUUAUGUUUCAAUUAAGCAAUUUGUUUAUAUUCGUUCUUUGGUUUGGAACUCAUAUUAUAUUGAGUACUACGAUUUGGGUAGCUCCUAGGUCGGAGUAGUGAUUCGUAGCGUAGACGUGGUGUCUGGGCUAUGGUUGCUUGUGAAUGUCCCCUGAUCAGCCCGAUUGUGGUAGUUCGCGUAGGUGACUUUAUAGCUGCAUUGAUUCCUCUGUAGUCCACUUCCUGUUGAUAGGAUUGAUAGGCUUAUAGGUGCCUGAUAGGGGAUUACUCUGAUUCUGCCCCUAUUAUGGUUACUUGCCCGAUAAGACGAUACUAUACAAAGUUUACCUAUUAUUAGAACCAGAGUACAUUAGUAUUUCAUCAUCAUCAAUAGUUUCUAGACUGUUUGUGUCCCCUUAGAUUAAGAAAUUAUAGGCUAAGUCAUAAAUCACCUAGUGUUCCUUUGGGUUCGAUAUUAAAAUCGGGUUGAUCUUGGUGAAGUGCUGAUCAGUAUAUAUAUGUGCGCUUGCAAUAAUCUGAUUAUAAUCAUUAUUAGGGUGCAGUUAAUUUAUACCAACACACACACAUAUAUAUAUAUAUAUUGAUGUAUGCAGAUAUCUGAUGGUAGAACUAAGAAAGAGAAAUGAUAAUAAUGUUGUUUUCGUUGAUCCAUAUGUCGUAUACAAAUACCCUAACCCCCCACGUGAUUAUAAGCCUGAACAAGAGAAGAAUCUUAUGAUGUUUUUAGUGGACCAAUGCAACAAGAAGGACAUACUCUUCCCCUACAACUUCAAAUAAUUAUUAAGUAAUUGAAAUAUCGAUGACAUGGGACAUUAUUUUUUCAAUUGAUUAUUUUCUAAUAGCUACCUAAUAAGUUAUGUCUAUGCAGCAAUCACUGGAUAUUGAUGGUCAUCGAUAUGGCCAAUAGUAGAUUGAAAAUCUUAGAGUCCUUAAUAAAACCGCAAUAACCAUUUUGGUCCCUCAAGGGUAAUUAAUUUAGUGUCUCUAUAAAAACUAGGUGCAAUAACCAUUUUGGUCCCUCAACUAUUACUCGAGGCUCAACUUUGUCCUUAAAUUUUUAAAACAGCCAUUUUGGUCCUCAUACUUUAGUUUUAGGCUCAGUUUUAUCCUACAACUAUGAAGAUGAUCGUUUCAGUCCUUAAAUUUUGUAUUUUGGGCUCAGUUUCAUCCAUAAACUAGCAAAGUGCAUUUAACCUUUUAUUUUCAACUCAAUUUUGUUUAUUCAAAAAAUAAAACUUUAUAUUUUAAGCAUAAUUUGAUCUAUAAAUUAUCAAAAUUAUAGAUCUGCUAUUGUUUCCAUAUAUCCAUGUAUUCUUGAAGAAUAAAUAGUGUUCGAUGUAACUAUAAUUGCUCUCACAAAUAUCAAUUUAGUUGGAUAUAUAUAAAUUGUACAAUUAUAAGGUAACACUAAAAAUAACAGCUUGGAAUUAUCAAUGGCCAUCAAAGAGUUUUGGAUAAAUAUUAUUUUUCUAUCUUCAAUUGUUGGUGGUGUUAGAGCUAAUGAUGUGCAAUAGUGCAGCGUUCUAAGUUGAGUUAAAAAAAUAAAAGUUUAAAGAACAAAAUACACUUUAAUAGUUUUAAAAUGAAAUUGAGCUCAGAAUAGAAAGUUUGAAGACUAAAACGACUGUCUUCGUAGUUUUAGGAUGAAACUGAACCUAAAAGUAUACUUUGAGGACUAAAAUAGUUGUUUUGAAAGUUCAGGGACGAAAUUGAGCCUGAAGUAAUAGUAGAGGGACCAAAAUGACUAUUCUGCCUAAAAACUAUAUAUAGAUCUCUCAACAAUUAUUAAAGGAUCAAUUAUGUUUUUAUUGGACGCAGGGUUUGGAAAAAGUUCAUUGAGGAACAAAAAAUUAAUCAUUGCAAAGCGCCACUGGAUAUAAUCGCACACAAAGUAGGUACUAUAACUACGUUUAUAUUCAAUUUACAAUAUAUGAUGAUUUCAAUUCACCUAACUAAUUAAUUUUUUGCUGUAAAAGUGGGUUCUAAGAGAGGAGCAAAUGAACAACUACUGUGGAUACUAGAUUUGCGAGUUCAUCAUGGAGUACUCAAACAGAACUCCAGAAAAAUUCCUCAAAGUACGUAUAUAUAAAUACCUUUCUCUUUAAUUAUAUUGAUUGUUUACAUCGUAUAUUCACAUUUUUUUAUUGCUCACUUUUCUGUAUAAGUAAUCACUAUCAACACACAUAUAUAUUAAUAAUUUAUUCUUUUACUUUUAUUGAAGACUGAAUGGUGGAAGGAAAGAGUCAUACGACGUGACCAACUUAAAGCAAUUCAAGAGACUAUAGCCGGAUUUCUAAAUAACCAGGUCAUCGACCCAAAUGGCGAGUUCUACAAUGAUUUGAACGAAAUAUGGAAGCUAAAUCAUGAGUGAAUUGUUAUGCCAAAGACAUGAAUUUCUAUGUAUAUAUAAAAUAAUGUGUGAUCAUAUGUACGUAUAAUCGCUUGUUAUUUAUAACUAUGUUGUAUUAAACGAUAACUUAAUUAUUGGUGCGAAAUAUGUAUUAGUAUUAGCAGCGUAUUUGAAUCCUAUUAUAAUAUCAAAACUAAUCAUCAAUUGAAAAAAGAAAAAAAACACAAAAGAAAAAAAAAUCUUUACUCUCGGUUCUAAUACAAACCGGGACUAAAUGUCCGUGCCCGGUGGAUAGACCUGGAGGAACCUUGUAGUCCCCGGUUGCUAAUAUCAACCGAGACAAAAGGUUCACCUUUAAUCCCGGGCACCCAGUCGGGACUAAAGAUGCCCUCCUUUAGUCUCGGAUUGGUGUUCCCGGUUGGAAAACUGAGACUAAAAGAGUUUUCCAACCGAGAGUACAGGCCAUUUCUGUACUAGUGCAGAACAGUUGUCAAUUAACCUCCCUGAAUCUCAGGCUUAGUUGUAUUCUAGCUAGAGUCUAUAUCCUAAGUAGAACAGGGGGAACAAGAUGCUGAUACAAUGUGAUUUUUUUGCGAAAUCCAGUAAAUCAUCUCUUUGAAUACACACGUAUAUAUAACAGCAGAUAUUUAGCUUUUAUACGUGCCCGUGCGUUGCAACGGGAGAAAAAAUUAUGUUAGCAAAAAAUGAAAGUAUCAUCAUGCCUGUGCGUUGCAACGAGAUGUACGACUUGUUGCAUAAUCACCAUACUUCUAAAUUCAUCUUGAUACUGAACUAACUUGGUUCUUUGAUAUUAGUUAUAUUAUAUUAUAUAAAGGUAUAUAGAUAUAGAUUAUUUAAAUAAUUUUUCCUUUAAUAUGAUUCUGUAGCACAAAAGAAUAUUUUUUAACAAAAUAGAAGACAUAAAAUCUUGAUUUUCUUUGAUUACAACUCAAAUCUUGGGUUGGCCUAGCGGGCUCGGUCGACUGGUACAUGGGCCUUUGCCCUAGCCCACGUACGUGUAUCCGAUUUGUUCAACACACACGUCCAGGUCUCCAUGACAUACCAACAAGUACAACCGACUCUUGCUCACGAAGCUGCUCAAUGCUCGCUGCCAUUGAUCGGUCGCUCGCCUAUGUGACAACCGCUCCCUAGCACUGACGCAAGUCGCCAGUGUUGCUCACCUAUCUGGCCAUCCCUCCCUUGCCCUUCUCCAUCGAUGGGCGCGGUCUAGCAAAUCCUCUCGUGUGGCCAUGCUCGAGAAGCAGUGGCGGAGUUUGCACGGGCCACGGCCUUGGUUGCGGUUGGGUCUGGUAAGAGCGCAAUCCUAGUGUAAAGAUGGCAACGACCCGCAUGCCCAUGGGCAAAAGACCCGCUAGGCAAGGAUACGGAUGCGUGAGUCUGCCCAUGAGCACGGAUGCAGGUACAUCUUCAAACGGGACGGAUAUCAGAUGACACAGAAGAAAAUAUUCUAUCCACACCCGCAAACCCGCCUUUCCCGUUAUUCCCAACGCACUGGCAACCAACAGCCCACAUUCUUGUUUCCGGCCCAUCAAAGCCCAGCUCACAAUUCACGUAUAAAAGCAGCUAAACCUAAGUGCUUAACAUAUCUCUGCUCCCCACUCUCCCAUCUUGCCGCCGCCGGCUGCUUAGCAAGUCACGAGUUGUGUGUCGCACACUCGCACUUCUACCAUCCCAUAGCACCACGCUCGUGGUCCUUCUUGCUCGCAAGUUCCAGAUCGAGAGCCGCACUCCCUCCUCUUGCAGUCUUUCUCACGCAUGCAGCAUGCGUUCCAGAUUAAGAGCCACACUCCAUCUCUCUUGCAGCGUGCAUCCUUGAACGCUUGUCCAUGAUUGGCUAAAGGAAAAGGAAAGAAGCAUAGAAAUACUGGUCCUUCAACUCUCAUCCGAGAUUGGAUAAGGAUUGAAUCUUUGGAGGAAAGAAGCACAGCACUGCUGUCCACCUUGUAUUUUUUUAUUCGGAUUUUUUAGAUAGGAACUAUAAUUGUUUGUUGGCAAUCUGGACAUGGGAACGUCUACUUUCUCGAUUUGCAAUCAAGCAAUUGGCCUCGCCGUUGCCGCCGUCAUGCCCACAGGCAAGGAGCACCUUUGGGGUAGCGUUUGUGUUCAAUUUUUCAUUUUACCUAUAUGGUUGUUGGCCUCUGAUUUGCUAUAUAUUUGCUGUCCAUCUGGAGUAUAUUUGUGAUGAUCUUGAUUUGAUAUUGUACUCUAUCCGGUCUUGAUCUAAAUCAAGAUGGUCUUGAUUUGGUAUUGUACUCUUUUUUUUACUCGAUCUAAGAUUCCCGAUUGAAUACGGUAACAGUUGAGCCAAUAUAAACAGCCACACGAAAAAAAAUUCAGACGAAAAUUUGGCUGAAAUUUUGCCUCUUUAGUAUUAGGUAUAGAUUUAAUGGAACUAUAGCAUCAAAAGAAUAUAUAUACCUGGGUGAAUGGGAAGAAAACGUGGGACCAACCAUAGUUCAGGAACAACUGGAUUAUUACCCCGCCAAUCAUAUACGCCAAUAACCUUCAGUUAAGAAAAAAAUCGGUAGCAUGCAUCAAUAAUACCGAUCGACCAGAUUAUAUUAAUGUGUACUGUAUCACCAAAUAGAAUGUCCAUUGUUCAGUAACAUUUUUACUACUUAUAUAGUAUAAUAGUUUAAAGAGCACCUAACACUAGUACAGAAGUGCUCAAAGCCAGCGGUGGAACAUAAUUUUACAGGUGGUUUCAAUUAAAAAACGUCCGUGGAAAGAAAUUGGCUUACCCGACUACAAAACCGUCUGUGAAAAUCAAUUUUUACAGGUGGUUGUAGAAAUCAUGUAUUUCUACAGGAGGAUUUCUUAAGAAACCGUAUGUAGAAAUCAUAUUUCUACAGGCAGAUUUCUUAAGAAACCGUCUGUAGAAUUCAUAUUUCUACAUGCGGUUUCUUAAGAAAUCAUAUUUCUACGUGCGGUUUCUUAAGAAAUCCGCCUGUAGAAAUAAUUUGAACUUGAAUUUUUUGAGCUUUUCAAAUGACCUUGUUUGAAAAAAACCGUCAAAAUGAAAGUUGUAGAUCUUGAAAACUUAUGAAACUUUGAAGUUGAUAAUUUUUUCAUUUGAAAUCAUCUUGUCAUCGAAAACUACGUUUGAAUUUCACAAAUUUGAAAUUCAAAUUUUGUAAAUGACCUCGGAUGAAGGAACUACCAAUAUAAAAGUUGCAGAUCUUAAAAAGUUGUAAAACUUUGUAGUUGACGGCUUUUCCAUUUGAAUCCGUUUUGGGCCUCAAAUAAUUAAUUUAUGCUUGGUUUAUGAUAGUAUGUGGAGAACUAAACUCUAAUACAAACACAACUGAGUGAUAGGUGGAGUGGUAGAGAAGGGUACAUGCGAGGGCGAGGUCUCAAGUUCGAAUCCCACCGGCCGCGUAGCACGUGAUUUUACGCUAAGAAAUGCGCGACCUCUGUGUACUAGUGUAAGUCUAACCUAUUAUGUAAUAUAAUGCAUGCAUGGUGCGUAGAGAGAAUACAUAAUUAAGAACAUGAGCUGAAAAUUAAUAAUGUUGUGUGAGAAAUGGAAAGUGCAUAGCAGUGGACAUGCAUGGAGAAGGUGUUUGGUACGGCUUUUCCUCAGAUUCACAGAGUUACUUUAAACUUAUUCUACCAAACAUGUAUGAUGAAAGAGCUUCUCUCGAUAAACUAUUUUUAGCUCUUCUCACAGUUCUAGGUAAAAUUGGGUGAAGCUGAAAAUACUAACUUGUCGUUAUUUUCUCUACACUAUCUUCACUGCGAAGUUGUUUUACCCAAAGUUUUUUGAAAACAGCUUUACUACUGAAGCUGCUUUAUGGAACCAAAGGCAAAAAAAAUGUUUUACUAGUGAAGCUGAGUUGUAGCAGGUCAAAAUAUAUCCGUGAGCUGGGGACCUUAGUCCAGUCAAUGUCAUUUUCACUGUUUGUUUUUUAUUUUGUUAUUUUUCAGUUUGCAUAACUAUUCCAAUGUUAACAAGAAACAAUCUCUAGAGAUUUUAUCAUGAAUCCUUCUAGGUACUCAAAUUAUGCUGUAAUAAUACCUUUUUUUAGAUAACAGCUACCUAUUAUUUCUAUACAUAUUAUUGAUCAGUAAUAACACAAAUAUAAAUGGAGCAGUUAUUAGUUACUAUGCGUGGAGAUGCAGCCAUGAUUGCAUACCGAGAGUAAUAUCUUUGCCCAUUGUGGUGCUGCAGUUGCAGUGCCAUGGGACAGGAUCCAUGCGCGACCUUUGGCUAGUUCAUCGUUAUGCGCCUCACCGAGAAGCCUCAGGGUGGCAUAGUUCAAGCACGUGCCAAACAUGGCACUCUCGUCCAAAAUGUUGAAGCCCCAUCCGCCGUCCUCGUUCUAGACAAAAAUUAAAUUAAUUAAUUCAUUCAUAAAUGGUUGGUGUGAUGGAAGUUUAAUUUUGUUUCUCUCCUAAACUCUGCGAUGGUUGUUAGAUUAUGUGUGUUGUGCUUGUGUGUGCUCUUUGACAGUCUCACCGUCAGCUUUAUGAGCUGAUUUUUUUUUUCACCAAACAGCCUUUUUUUAAAAGAGCUUAGCCUAUCAAACUUUGUAAACAAUAGCUUUUCAAAGUUUCGGGCCCUGUUUGGUACAGCUGACAACAGCUUCACGAGCUGUUGUGAGCUGUCUUUUUGCCAAACACUUAUUUUCAAAACAGCUUUAUGGGUGAAGCUGUUUUUUCUCUCCUCUCACAAAGACAUAAGUUAGGAUGAAGCUGAAAAAAGUAGUUUAUUGCAGCUUUCUCUCUCAUUUCUCUCUCUCAACUAUGUAUGAAGUAGUUGGUGAAGCUAUUUUACUAAAUAUUUUUUUCAAAACAGCUUAGCUUCAUUUAGAAAGUUGUUCAUGAAAUUAUUUUCUAAAAAAACAGCUUUAAGUUGAGGUGCGCUAAACAAGACUUUCAUCUCCCACGUAUGGGCUCCAGUAUGGGAUUUGCCCCCGCUGUGGAGGAAGCGCGCAGGCUCAACUGGACCGAGGAAGACGAGCGAAGCAACGAGAAAGUAAGACCAGCGAGAGCUGUUUUACCCCCAAAAAAAAACCCGUACCUGAUGGUUGUAGAUAUGGCGGCAUAUCUCACGUAUAUGCUCUUUUGAUAGGACAGCGUCGAUUGAUCCAGUGAUGUGCAACGCGAAGAUCUGUACAACAAGAGUAGAGAGAGAUAGAGAUUACAACAGAGCUUUUGCUAGCUCCCUUCUCAUCAGCCGUUGAGCAUAUGCAUGUAAUUAAGCAAAAAUAAGUGCAUGUCGAAGGGCAAGGAGUGAUGAUACAUAAUAAGCAGCAGGAUCGGAAUAAAAAUAUAAAAUACGAACCCAGAAGGGCUGCAGGUACAUAAUCCCACUGUAAUCACCAGGCCAGUGACCAUCUUCAGCCUGGAGAGAGCAGACAUCCAACCGAGCGCUCGUCUCAGCGACUCGUGCAGAAUUUCUUCCGUCACCUCGUCGCCAUCCGCUAGCUUCGUGGCCGCGGGCAUAUCCGCGCGCAGAUGCUUUUCUCCAGUGAGCUGCUUGCUUGUAACAGGAGUAAAUGACAAGCGCGCGUGCUACAUGAUGAACUUAAGAACACAGCCUGCGGGCAUAUCGUCUUAUCUAUUACCUGCAUGCGCAUGAGUAGAUCCUGCGAUUCCCUCCUCCGGAAGCGGUUCUCCGUGAAGUCCUGGCGAAGCAGCUCCACCUUGGCGCGCUCCUCGUCGGUGCCGGCGUCUGGGUCGAACUCCCACACCUGCCGGCCAUGGAACUCACUCACCGUCUGCAUCCAUGGGCCUCCUCCUUUUGAGAUCUUUAGCCUCCACAUGCUAUGCUGGUAGCCGCUCGCGCCCCCCUCUCCAAUAUAUGAAGAAGUCUGCUGCAGCAGCUAUAGCUAAUCUAGCUUCAAAGGUGGACCGAGUUGUAGUGUUGGACGGAACUUAUUCCCUCGGUUGGGCAUGCAUAUAUAGCUAGUUAUUGUUAACUUUUGCUUCUCGUCGUUCCGGCCUCGUUUAGUAGUUCCUAAAAAGAAAAGUUUUUGAAUAUACUCUAGCAUAUUUAUAACUGUAAUAAUUAAUGUUCAAUCAUGAACUAUUUAGACUUAAAAGAUUCGUCUGGCAAAGUACAUAUAAAAUAUGUAAUUAGUUAUUUUUAAUUUAUAUUUAAUGUUAUAUGUAUGUGUUUAAAUAUUCGAUGUGAUGAUACGAAAAAUUUUAAGUAAAAACUAAACGGGACUCUAUAACUAUUAUAUGUAUGAGUACUAAUUAGUCAUGGGCCCUAUAACUAUUAAUAAUUAAUAAUUCUGUCGGUUUGCAUUGAUCGACAACAAGAUGCGCAGAUGGGCAGUGCCUGCAGAAGCUUGUCUGCUUUUAUUAUUUCCUUGAGAGCGUCCGCAAUAUAGCACUAGUACAUAGCUAACUGAUAUAGAGUUGAGAGAUAAUAGCAAAAAAAAAAUUUAUAUAUUUAUGUUUUUCUAUAUAUUAUCGUGUCUACGUGUUCCUGCCACAUGUUUAUGUGUACUAUUUUAGCGUUUCUCUUUCUAUCUCAUCAAUUCUGGCAGCGAGACCAAUCAAUACAGCCCAAUCAAGGAGAAACCCCCUCCUGCAGUGCGCCACCGCCUGCAUUGCUGAAACGCGUCAUGGGAAACAUCCCGCACGAGAAGGGAGUCAGCAGGCUGCAGAGAGCGUCCGAUCCACACGACACGAGGAGAGCCCAAGCCCUCAGCUGUCAGCAGCGAUCAUGCCGGCCGGCCGGCCGCUCCUUCCGCCAUCUCGCUGAGCCGAGACCUGAGCCGCUGAGCACAACGACAACCAUGGGCCAUGGAUUAUGGCCGGAUGGAGUACUAGUAGAUUGGCGCAUGCGUGGGUUAUUAGUAGAGUGGGUAGUGCAAGACGUUUAGUAACAGUACAAUAUGUAACAUAUUAUUGCUUAAUUAACAUCAUAAAACGGAAAGGGCAGUACUUAAGGGUAGUAGUAUGAUUAGUAGCACACUUGUCUCUGAAUAUUACGUUAGACUACAUUGAACCGUUGAAAUAUACAUGGCCUUGGCCCAAUAAAAAAUCUGAAAUUCUUAAGAGAAUUCUCAAAGGCCCAUUCUCAUGUGCAAAAAGGGAAAAUGCGAACCAUUUUAGUUUCACCUUGCUUGUAAAGUGGAUGUAGUCAUACUUAAAGAUGGAAGUCAUCUCCACUUCUCAAGUCUAGUAUGGGGACAGGAGAGGAAGCCCACAUGUGCUCGUUUGUCUCACUAGGCCGGACCAACUGGCAUGAACGAAGGGCGUGAGUGCGGGGACUGCUCCCAACUUGCACAACGUCUGCGUCACCACAAUGAGCUUAUACUAGUAUCUGAGAUUGUCAUGAUAUAUAUUCUGAUUUGUCUAGGAUUUUGUAAGGCACAUAUAUUCUUAUAUACGAGCUAGGUUAUAAUCGUAUAUGAUAUGUCAUGAUUUAUAUUCUAAUUUUAGUUUGGAAAAAUUGUCUACUUUCUCAACAAGAACUUUGUCUAUUUUGGGAGAUUAUCAUGAUUUAUAUUCUAGUUUGUUUAGGAUUUCUUAGCAGAACAUACAUUCUUACAUACGAGCUAUGCUUAUAUUAAUAUAUAAAAUUAUCAUGAUUUAUAUUCUGAUUUUAGUCUAUAAAAACUAUCUACUGUCUCAAUAAGAACUUCGUCUGUUUAGGGUUUAUUAGGGUUUAGGAUUUCAUAGCAGCACAUACUUAUACGAGCUAUGCUUAUACUAGUAUAUGAGAUUAUCAUGAUUUAUAUUAUAGUUUUAAUCUGGAAAAACUGUCUACUUGGUUUUAUUAGGGUUUAGGAUUUCGUAAUAGUACAUACAUUCUUAUAUGAGCUAUGCUUAUACUACCACUUUGAUAUGCCCAAUCGAAUCAUCACCAACUUGGGAUCACUAUUCAUAGCUAGGAAAUUCAAGACUUGGGCAAGCGAUUGUGGCAUCAACAUCAAUUAUGAAUCAAUUGCUCAGCCACAGACCAACGGACAAGUACAGAGAGCCAAUGGUCUAUUGCUAGCUAUGCUAAAGCCUCGUCUAUAUGACGAACUCAAGGACUACGGAGGCAGUGGACAGACGAAUUACCCAAAGUAGUCUAGGGCUACAUACUCAGCAAACUAGAGCAACAGGGCGCUUGCCUUUCUUCCUAGUCCACGGUUCUAAAGCUAUUUUGCCAACAAAUCUGAUUUGGAACUCACCAAGGGUUGAGCAAAUACAAUGAAGGAGAAGCUAACAAAACCAGACGAAUAGAAAUUGACAGUGUAGAAGAAGCCAAAAUGGUAGCUCUGUUUCAGUCGGCUCAAUACCAUCAAUGUGUGCGGCAACAUUAUGACAAGAACGUACAACCCCACACGUUCUAGGUUGAAGAUCUCGCCUUACACCGCAUCCAGGACACCUCAGGAUGCCACAAGCUUCUAAGUCCUUGGGAGGGUCCAUUCUUUGUUUCCAAGGUUACUCGCCCCGGAUCAGUUGAGCUUGUCACCACAAAUGGGAACCCAGUACCUAAUUCUUGGAACAUCAAAUGGCUACAAAGAUUUUACCCUUAGGAGUUCACUAUAGGACAGUGGUAGAUUUAGUUUUGCAAUUGUAAACAACUUUAUUCCAUAAAGAAGAUUCUUGUUAGUUGCCAGUCAAGUUAUCUACUGCAUCCUUCAGAAUUUGGGAAAAUCAAAGGCUCCUACUACUUGGCACAACUUUGUGUUGUCCAUAUUCUUGGAUUAAGUCACCAAACAUCCCUAUGACUAAUACUUGUGGCAACUACUAUUUGUCACAUAGCUUUCGAGCUACUUGCUGUCAAACCUAGCCGAACACAUUCUAGCUCUUCACUGAAGCAGCGAAACAUAAGAGGACUGACUCGUCCUUCAUGGCAUACAAGCAUGUUGUUGCAAGGUCAAAACCACAGCAAACAUGUUGUUUGGAUGGUGAAUGAUGGAUUAUGAGGACGCUACACUAGCUAGGAAACAAAAAAAAUUAACCACAUAAAAACAGGAACAACUAUAAGUUAUAGAUCAUGGGAUUACCACUAGACGCACAGGUGCAGCGAAAAUGACUCGGUGUAGUCGUGCGUAUAGUAGCAGUGUCGUGCAGUUGCAUGGUCGUCCACCACGCCAAUCCCUCUCCCGCAUUUUGUCCUUGUGCUCUAGAUGUAGCACCUCUGAGGUAUCCCAUGCGUGCGGAGAAGAAGAGUUGUGCCUCUAGACUGCUAGGUCCGUGAGGAGCAACAGGUGUGAGCGUGGGUGAGCGGCGGCGGCUGCCUAAUGGCAUGGGAUUAACCCUGGCCACACCCCCUCCCUCUCUUAUAUAGGUGUCCUCCAAUCAGCCUCGAGUCGAAGACCCAAUUAGAAACCCUAAGCCUUGUCUAAUUCGGGUCCAACCCGAAUUAAGCUUCCAGCCCCUUAAGCGUGCGACCCUAAGGGUUCACGUACAUAUAGACAUGAGCCAAGUACUCCUACUCACCCAAUAGUUGACAACGGCAUCUAGCAAGGUGUGACAACUCCUAUACGCACGCAAAGAUCAUAUUAGACGAACCACUACAUACACAUACAUGUUAUUCCCUUGCCACACGAUAUUUGGUCCAACUCGUGAGUUAACACUUAACCCAAGCACGGCCAUGCAUUUGUUGAUCCAAUCAAUUGAGUGAUCCAGUGAUAUCUUUCUCACAUAGAGAGGGGCAAGUUCUAUCUUGAUCAUCUAUGUCUCACAACAUGUUUCCCGACAAACCCAAAGACCACCUUUAUAACUACCCUGUUACGGAGUAGCGUUCAAUAGUCACUAAGUAGGUUGUUUCACACAUUGAGAGCAUACGACAAUCUCAGGUCUAAGGACAUAACAUACAUGAUGUAUAAAGAGAUAAUAAGAACAUCUCAUGUUGGGUUAGUCCAACCCCAUGUCAUACAUGUGCCCACAUUAUUAGUUUGACAUCUCUAUGUCUAUGACUUGUGAAACAAAGUCAUCAACUAAUACAUACGCUAAUCUAAUAUUCAUAUGUAUCCUCACAUGAACUCUAACCAGGGAAACUUUAGAAUAUCCAUACAAGUAAAAGAGUUUCACAAAUAAUUCACAUAAUUGUUAAUCAAUACAAGUUUUUCUAUAAUGGAUAUUCCUCGAACUCAUAAUAUAUGUCAUGGAUACAAUUAUAAUAUCAUCAUCUCUAUGAUAACCUCUAGGGCAUAUUCCCAACAAUCUCCCACUUGCAAUAGAGUUAAUCUCUAAGAUAUCUAAUACCCAUAGACCUCAAGUGUGCCUCAUGCUUAGGCUGUGGAAGAGCCUUUGUCAAAGGAUCUGCAAUAUUCAAAUCUGUAUGUAUCUUGCACAUCUUAAUUUCACCACGCCUAACGAACUCUCGAAUGAAGUGAAACUUCCGCAGCACAUAUUUGUUCUUCUGGUGAUUCUGUUGGUGCAAAAGUAGAUCUGCAAACACAAAGGGCUAAUAUCCGAUUCAAUGUUAAGGCGUGCCAGCCGAUUUGACCUUACAACAGACAAAGGUGAUGACUCGAAUACUUUGGUCCUAACAACAGCGAUACGCCCAGAUGCCAUGGCCAAGAGGUAUUCACGCUGAACUUGAGAACUCGCCGAGUUUGACUCGAUGAAUUCCUAAGAACUCGUAAGUAAAAAUAAAAUAUGCAAGUUGACAAAGUCGUCGAAAAGUAGAUGCUAAAAUAGAUGUAAAAACUUUGUGUUUGAUUGAUUGUGAUUGUCCUUCUUACAUCGCUACCAGGUCUAUAUUUAGACCCUAUCCUAAAGAGUCACAACCAGGUACGACUAGGAUUCCAAUUCGAAACUAAACAGAAUCCGUAUACAAAACAAACUCUAAUAACUAUGGAAAUCAUUAAUUUCUCUAUCCUAGGCGAUCGGCACACUACCACCAUUUUCCUGACGAUUCCUACGCCCUCCUCCACUAUCAUCGGCACAUCAUCCCCCAUCAGCAUCGGCAACUGUUAACAUCAGCCAUCGGCACAGAUCAAUCAUUAUACCUGGUCUUGGUCAUAUUCUGUUGCUUUAUCAUUGGCAUCAUAACCCAUCGGUAACUCCUCUGUCAACCAGUCAUUACUUUUUCACCAGCCGAUCCACGUUUCAUUAACUUCCUAGAUACGUGUCCAAAAACGGUGUCAACACAUGCCCCCAAUUUUGGAGUAUAAAGUCAUUAAUGCUCCAAAAUUCUCUCCUAAUAAUAACACCCUUUUCGCAAUUAUUUCCUUCUGACGGCAACUAAUUGCCAAAUCCAAACAACCUUAACCCGGAUCUCCAGCAUGCACCUCGAAUUUCUCAACUCCUUGACCAAAUCUCCUAAACACCCGCUCAUCAGUAACUUUUCCGUUAGAGUGGACUGUCAAUGAGCCGACUAGGAGAUCCCACACAGUAAAAUAUCUCCCAAAAUCAUGACCGCUUGCUGUCAAAUCACCUGCACAAUCCCAUGAUUACCGUGCGAACAGUUACCAUAUCCACCUGAACACCCUCGAAUUUCACGGAUACGACAAAGAGAUAAGUCAGAAUUGCCCCUGCUCAUUUUACCCUAUAAAUACUUCCUUCCUUGGCACUCUUUCUCUACCUUGCCAUCCUUCAUUCCCCAAACUCAUCUUCCUGGCGGCAGCUGUUGACGGUCCUUAAGUAUCAAAUUUAAUUAUCAAAUAAACAAAGAAAAGGAUCCAAAUGAAAUCAACAUCUAGACUUAGGGUUUUAUCUGACAGAAUUCCACGAGUUCUGGUGUUUGUCUAUUUCUGCAGGGGGUUAUCAGGAAAUACGGAGGAAAGGCCCACACGUCGGGAUUACAUAAAGAUAUUAACGUGCCGUGCAAUUAUGUUACAUCUAGAAGACUCCAGAAGCCACGGAAAGAAAGCGGAGGCCGAACGGGGCCAGAGGCAGGGCGCCCGCCCUCCUGCCCUGGGCGCCCGCCCUCUGUUGGAGUCCAAUCAGGACUCUGUUUCUCGGAAGAUCUCCACCGACCUAAAGGAUCAAGGAUAACCGUUCAAUCAAUGUCGGUUUGAUCCAACGGCCCAUAUUCACUUGAAGGGACUAUAAAACCAGACCCCCUGGCCCCUGGAGGAGAGAGCCUCUCAACCCUAAUUCAGUAUUCCUCAAGGGAGAAGAAGCCUCUGAUCAAGAUUAGAGCCACCACAUCAAUUAGACAUCUAGAUUAACAUAGCUACAUAGGAUUAGAACUAGAAGGAGUCAAUGUUCGAUUGGUUUCCGGAUCUGUCAGGAGGAUUCUUGGUAAUUCUCUAAUUGUGCUUCUAAUUGUUCCUCUAAUUAUCUUUGUUCUUCAAUAUUAUGAAUAUGACUUUGUUCUACUUCAAUAUAUUGCUUAUGACUUUGCUCUACUUGUUUAUAUUCAAGAUUAUAUUGUUCUUAGUUUAUCAUAGUUAUGUACUUGGCUUAGUUAGAUUAGAUCUAUAUACAUGCUUAGGAUCGUAUAGCGUUUAUCCAUCGGAUCCAUGGGUAAAUGAUAGAUAUUGUGUAGGCGUGGUGCUUAUACCGUAUUUAUCUGCGAUUGUACCCAAUAUGCCAGAUCGUGGGGUAGUUCGUGAUAGUGACAGCUUUAUUGAUUCUUAUAUAGUCCCCCUCUCGUGUAUUGGGCUGUCAGAGCAAUAUUAUUACAGGGAAGUGAUUGCUAUGUUUCUCAUUUACCUUGCUAAUAUCACUAUGCAUGGGCGUAGUCUUGUCUCACAAUGAUUGCUAAGUAUGCUUGCACUAAUUAUGAUAAUGCUAGACUAUAUAGUUGAGAAUAACUUAGGAAAUAUUCUUGUAGUUCAUUCUAAUUUCAUGCUAAUGACUUUUUAGAGUAUCUAAUUGAGGUGCUUAUCAUAUUUAUUAUGUGUCUAGUUAUGAUCAGAUUAAUUAUCUUUGUCACUAUUCAUUAUUUUAUAUAUCCUUUAUGUGACACUUACCCCUGUAUGAAGGAGUUAGAUAAAUGUUCUCAAUUAUAUAUGCAAUGAUAGAUACUCAAUCUCAUAUUCUAUUCUGUAAUCAAUAUUGAUGGUUGCUAAUCCCUUCCCAGUGGUAAAAAUAUAAAUAACGAUACCUGGAAUACUUCCCGGUUAAAAUACUGCAUCGGUAUUAAUCUGUGCGCUUGCAGAUCCCAUUCAUUAUUUAUUUAGAAGAGCAAUUGUAUAUUUAAAUACCGCGUCUCUCAUGUCAUGCUGGGGAUGACAACUUGGCUUAAGUGGUGUGAGGGACAGGUUUGACAUUUUUGGCACCGUUACUAGAUUUAGAGAACUUAGUCUACUUUUGGUAAUGAUGUUAAGAAUACCCAACAACAGCAUCGUUGAAAAGCCCAAGAACUCUAGCAAAAAUCUUCCCCAGCGGUUCUUCAAGUCUCCAAUCCUCUUCUUCUCCGGGAAGAAAUGGCCAUCAACUUCAUCGUCCCUGAGGUUAAUCUAUUCCCAUCUUUCCUUUCUUUGCCGUAUUUUUACCUUUUGCAAAUAUACUUACUUAGCAUUUUCUUUCUUCUUCCUUCUUUUCUGUUCUUCCAAUCUUCAAACCUUUAGGAAUUGACCGAGAAAAUCAUUAUUCCUACCGAGCAACCUCACCUCCAAUGCCUCGGUCCGUUGGGUAAUCCAGAUCCUACCGAUCUGAUCAAUGCAGAAACAAAUAGGAUCCCCUUUAGAGCCAAGAACUUUUCCUUAGAUCUGUUGAAAGAUACCUUCCGAUCUUGGCCAAGUUCUACCAAGGGAUGGAAGGAUUGGUUCUUGAGAGUUAGCAACACGAAUGAAGUACAAUGGGGUGAACGCAAACUAGAUCAGUGCAUCAGGCUAUCCAUUGCCGAUAUGGACAGAAAUGAGUCACUACUGAUUGCUGCUUCAAACUUCUGGUCAGAUACUCUCAAUGCUUUCCUAUUCGGUCAUUUGUUCGAUCGCAAGGCCGAACGCAAAGUAGAAACCCGCAACAUCGGCGCUGGUCAGGGUAUAUCCAGAAGUACCAGAGAAUGGGACCAGUUGGGCAAAGAGAACACGCCAAUUUUCUGAACAUGUGGCUAGACAAAUUCGUCUUCUGUGGCCGAUCGGUAGGACCAACCUCCGUCUACUUAUCGGUAGCAGAGAGGUUAGCCGAUGGUGGCCGAUUCCCCCUUGGCCGAUACCUGCUAGGUUGUGCCUAUCACCUCCUCCACCAAGUGACUGAAAAGCUCCUAUUAGGUGAACCCAUCAGCAACCUAGGAGGCCCUGGUGGUUUAUCAAUAUGUGGCUUAAUGUUCAUAUGCACAAACAUCUUCGGUUUGAUCUCUUUGCACAACAAUUCCCUAGAGAUAUUGCCGAAGAUUAUGAAUUGGCCAAUGAUGAAUCGGCAACUCGCCUGCCCCUCAAUUAUGGUGAGGCUGCUAUAGUUCUGCCCGGCACCAGCUGCAAUGAAAACCAGAUCGGCCGAUUCUUCCAAACCUUCUAUGAUGGUCUCUCCAAAGAGCAACGAGCAUGGAAGCCUUAUGAGGAUCCAGAAACCAGAUUCCCGCACACCUUCCAUCCUUUUGACAAUGCUCUCAACAAGGAUAAUGACCUGAUGAUGGCAAUUAUUACCCCGAGGGCAAUUCCAGUGAACACUUUUGGUAGCGGGAAGAACACCAACCCCACUUAUGAAUUUUACAACCCAUCGGCACUAGCUCGCCAACCAGCUUUUGGCCAACUGCCGAUCAAACUCUGUUAUGCCGAUGUGGUGAAACCUAGGGAAACCAUAACCAGUGGACUUGAGUGGAUAAGGAUAGCCCAGCUCCAACCAAAUGCUGAUACGACACACAUUGAUCUAUCGGCCUGGGUUCCAGCUCUCUUCAUCACUCAGCUGUAUAAACUUUGGUGGGAAGAAUGGAAGGAACAUCUAUUCAGGGUAUCGGCCCAUACGUAUCGUGGCAUGAUCGACUCUGACUAUGAAGUCCCCGAUAACAUUGUAAGUUCCUUUACCGAUACUUCAGUUCUUUACUCCCUUUUAACCUCAUCGGUAACUUACUAUUUCUUAUUUCAACAGGUUGAUGAUCUAGCGCCAACAAUCAGCAGGAGUGGGAAGCCGAUCGAUCUUCUUCAAUCAGGCCCAAUCUCUUUGAAUGGCCACCACGCGCUAAGUCUAGCGGCUCUGACGCACCGCAACGUGCGUUUCAAGAAGACGACCACCAAAUGGUCAAAAUUAUCCCCAUCGGUAGCCGCUGCCACCCUAGCACAGGCUUUCAUGGUAAAAUUCCUUAAUUUCCUUUGCUUGCACCGAUUUCAUCCCAUACUCACAUCAUUCUUUCAGGGCACAUCGGCCGCAAUAGGAACUUCAUCGGUAAUUUUAUCUUUCAACAAAAUUUCAUCAGUAUUCUUUUAUGAUUUUACUCAUGAAAUUUUGGUUGUUGCAACAGCAACCUGGCAAAUCGGCUAAGACCAGAAGUGCUCAAACGUUAGGUGCCGAUGCCCCCCAGCCUAGCCAAGCUCCGACCAAGAGAAAAGGUCCCAAAAGUACCAAGACCCAGCCAAAACGCCAGAAGACAGCACCAUCCUCUCCUCCUCGUCUAGUGUCGCCGAUCUAGGUAACGUCAUCCCCUUCUCCACCGGAAACUCAGACACAAGAAGCAACUUCUCCUCCUCAACCAGUACCUCAGCCACAAGAAGGAUCAGCCAAUGUUUCUGAACAGAUUGUCGAUCUAGCUGAUCUGGGUACAUCAUCGGCAGCUUCCUCAGAACAGACCAUCACCAUACCCCCUCAAGGUAAAGUACUAAUCAUAGAAUCAUUACCAAUGAAUUUGUUUCAUAGACCAUAAUCAUCUUUGUAACUUUUCAGUUAAAGUCAUUUCAUCGGCAACUUCAGCCGAUCAAACCAUAGUGCCAGCUGCAUCUCCACGCCAGAGGCAUGAAAUCACUCUGAAGCAAGUAAGUUAUUUGAUCUCUAGAAUUUAUAUUAUUAAUACUUGAUCGUCGAGUAACUUAUCUUCCUCCCCUUUUCAGGAACCAGACUCUCCAGACAGCCUGUUCUCUUUUGCCAUCGACAUUUCCGAUGACAAAGGUGAAGAAGCAAGCUCUUCUCAGGCAGUGGGAAUCUCAUCGGCAGAGAUUAAAGCUAAGCUGGAAGACUUGUUGGCCCUGCUGCAUCAAGAUACAGCCCAGCUAGUAGAUGAUUCCAAUCCGGCCAAAGCUUUGUUCAAGACCAUUCGUGGUCAGAUUCCAGCCGAUGUCGAAGAGAUCCUCUUUCAAGCUGCUCAUCUGGAAAGCCGCCAGCUUCAGUACCAGAAAGCCACUCAGUGUCUUGCUGACAGAGCUACUUAUGCCCGACUUGUAGAGGAAAUGAUGCAAGUAAAACGCACUGCCAAUGAGAAGCAUAAGAGCUUCGACGUCAUGCAAUCCUCUGGAGAUGAAUUGAAGCAAAAGAUCUCUGAUUUAUUGGCAAGAAGGGAAGCCUUGUUAGCCGAACUUAAGCAAGUAGAAGAAGCCCUGACUCAAGCUCAGCAAGAAGAAAGUCAACUGCCUGAAGCGCUCAAAAUUCUCCAGCAAGAGAUAGAUACUCAGGCCCGGAAGGCGCUGCAUAUGAGGAAGAAGCUGAAGCCAGUCGAGGGUUCUACCGAUGAAGAUGUUCGAGAGAUAGAAGAGGCCAACCAGAUCCGUCUACGUGCCAUAUCAGCCAUUCAAGAUCUGCUAAACCUGUGAGCUCUUCAUCGGCAAUUCGUUCAAUUCUGUCCUUAGAAAACUUCCAAUCAUUUUGGUCUAGCCGAUAGGACUGUUAUCGGCACUUUAAACAUCAUGCAUGAUCCCAGACACAUUUCAUCCAGCCGAUAGGAGUGUUAUCGGCAUUUGAUGUUCUAUGCAUCAACCCAGAUACUAGGAUAGUAUCUCUUUAAAUAUUUUUGAUUUAAUGCUCUGGGAAAUUCAACUCCUUCGAGAGUUUACAGAAUAUAAGCAUUGCUAGGAGCAGAUCGAUUUAUCCGAUAAGGACCUUCCCAAUUAGGAGACCAUUUUCCAAAUUUUGAACUUUUAGUCCCAAUCGGUAGAAUUAACUUCCACACUAAAUCUCCAUCAGCAAACCCUUUAGCCUUCACUUUUUUAUCAUACCAUCUAGCAACUCCCUUUUAAAUUUCUUCUCUGCUAAUUAAAGCCCUCAACCGAUGCUCUGCUAAAUCAUCCAACUCAUCUUUCAUCAAAGUAGCAUAGUCAUCGGCAACUAAUUGAUCCUGAAAAGACAUUCACCUAAAUCCAGUUUUAAUUUCCCAUGGUAAUACCGCAUCGUGUUCAUAUACCAAUGGAUAGGGUGAAACUUUAAUUGAUCCAUGACACGCCAUCUGAUAUGACCACAAAGCUUCAUUUAACAAUGUGUGCCACCUUCUCGGAUUUUCUUCAAUUUUCCGCUUCAUGAGCUUAAUAAUCCCUCUGUUAGAAGCUUCAGCUUGUCCAUUAGCUUGAGCAUAAUAAGGAGAAGAGUUCAAAACUUUAAUCCCCAUACCGAUUCCAAACUCAUCAAACUCCCUCGAUGUAAACAUAGUACCCUAAUCGGUAGUAAUCGUUUGGGGAAUGCUAAAUCGGUAAAUAAUAUGCUCCUUCACAAAAUCAAUCAUAUUGGUUGAUGCCACUUUCUUCAAAGGAAUAGCUUCAACCCAUUUAGUAAAAUAAUCAGUGGCAACUAAGAAAAACUUAUACCCCUUGCUAGAUGGCGGAUAAAUUUGUUCGAUGAGGUCAAUAGCCCAACCUCAAAACGCCCAAGGUUUAAUAAUAGGAUUCAUAGCCGAUGUAGGUGCCCUUUGAAUAUUGUCAAACUUCUGACAUCCUUGACAUCUUUUAAAUUAUUUAAAGUAAUCUUCAAGUAUAGUCAGCCAAUAAUAUCCGUUUCUCCUAAUCAUCCAUUUCAUCUUGAAAGCCGAUUGAUGUGCUCCACACACUCCUUCAUGAAUUUCACCCAUCAAGCUCCUAGCUUCAUCAUCACCCAAACACUUGAGCAAAACUCCAUCUACCGUCUGAUAAUACAACUCUUAUUCAAGGAGUACAUACUUUGUAGCUUGAAAUCUAACACGCCUCUCAACUUUCUUGGACGGAUCUUUCAAAUAAUCAAUAAUUUCCUUCCUCCAAUCAUCGACAUCGACUGCCAAUAAUAUGCCCAAGAUGGGUUGGUAUCCCAAAGCGUGUUGAGCUAAUCGGUUGGCUUCUUCAUUAUGCAACCGAGGAAUAUGUUCUAAUCGGAAAUCCUUGAAUUCCUUUAACUAUUGUACGCACUUUUCAUAGUAGGUUAUCAAAACCUAACUUUGGCAUUCAUAAUUUCUAGCCAACUGGUUUAUAACAAGCAUAGAAUCACCAAAAAUUUCAACAGCAUCGGCAUGAACCUCCAUUAAUAAUUCCAACCCUUUGAUCAAAGCUUGAUACUCAGCUUGAUAAUUUGUUGACGUAGCAACAACCGGCAAAGAAAACUCAUACUUCUUUCCUCGAGGAGAAAUUAGUACUAUGCCGAUUCCUGCCCCUAGGUCACAUGUCAAUCCAUCAAAGAAGAGCAUCCAAGGAACGAUUUCCAAGGCAUCCACUACACCGCAAUGCUGAGUCACAAAAUCAGCCAUGAUCUACCCUUUAACUCUUUAACUGCCUUAGCCGACUCGUAGCGUAGAUCAAAUUCCGACAAUGCCAAUAUCCAUUUGCCAAUUCUACCACUCAUAAUCGGCAUUGAUAACAUAUAUCGGACCACAUCAUCUUUGCAUAUAACAGUGAAUUCGGCCGAUAGCAAAUAGUGUCUCAAUUUGAUGCAUGAAAAGUAUGAGCAUAAGCAUAGUUUCUCAAUUGCCGAAUACCUCAUUUCAGCAUCCACCAAUCUUCUACUUAGAUAAUAAAUCACACGCUCCUUCCCUUCAAAUUCUUUAAUUAGAGCUAAACCGAUGACCAUCCCAUCGGUAGACAAAUAUAAUUUAAAAGGCUUUCCUUGUUGAGGUGGAAUCAAAAUCGAAGGACUUGUCAAAUAAUUCUUGAUCUCAUCCAAUGCUAACUGUUGCUCUUUCCCCCACACAAAUUCUUGAUCGGCUUUUAACUUAAGCAAAGGACUAAAAGCACGAAUCUUACCAGACAAAUUAGAUAUAAAUCGUCUGAUGAAAUUUAUCUUGCUGAUCAAUGAUUGAAGUUCAGUUUUAUUGGCGGGAGCAACUAUCUUGUUGAUGGCAUCAAUGGAUCUCCUACUAAUUUCAAUCCCUCUUUGAUGCACCAUGACACCAAGAAGUUAUCCUGCCGAUACACCAAAUGCACAUUUAUUAGGAUUCAUCUUUAAACCAUGCUUCCUUGUGCACUCCAACACCUUUCGCAGAUAGGCUAGAUGCUUUGUGAAAUCUCAAGACUUAACCACCACGUCAUCAAUAUAGAUUUCUACCAGCUUGCCAAUGAACUCAUGAAAGAUGAAAUUCAUAGCCCUCUGAUAAGUAGCACCAGCAUUCUUUAAGACAAGGGUCAUGACUAUCCAUUCAAAUAGUCCAACAUGACCAGGACAUCUAAAUGCAGUCUUGGGAAUAUCCUCCUCAGCCAUGAAUAUUUGAUUGUAUCCUACAUUGCCAUCCAUAAAGCUAAUGAUCCGAUGUCCAGCUGCAGCGUCAACCAACAAAUCGGCAACCGACAUUGGAUAACCAUCCAUCGGCGUAGCUUUAUUGAGGUUCCUAAACUCAAUGUAGACACGAAGUUUCCCAUUCUUCUUAUAAAUGGGGACAACAUUGGAAAUCCAUUCGGCAUACCGACACUGCCGAAUAAAUUUAGCUUCAAUAAGUUUAGUUAUUUCGGCCUUUUCCCCUAGGGUCUGACUGCUGCCGAUUUUCAUACUUAGAAGAAUUUUCUUCCCUAUUCAAUUCUUCUUGUCGCUCUUGCUGCAUCCUCCUUUUCUGUGUCCUUGUCAACCCUUCUGGGCACCAUGGGGGAAGCUAUUUUCUCCGCACUGGUUGAUAGCGAGCUUCCCUUGAUUCCAUCCGAUAAGUAUUAGCAUCCCUACAAAAUAUAAACUCAUCGGGAACCCGUGCAUUUGCCAUCUCUUCAAGUUCCUCUUGGUUUCUUGGGAAAUAACCGACACGUUCACCGAGCCUGUCAUGCACACUGAGCCUGCCCCCAGCCGAUCAUGGACUGACGUCCUUUCUCUAAUCGGCCCAUUAAACCGUCGAUCAUUGUUCUGAUAUUGCCGAUUUGGUCGAUCAUUCCGAUUAUAACCAUUGCACUCAAGACAAUCUCUAACAGUCGGUAAUUUGAUAUUUUGUUCCCAACAAUGGAUGAAGAAUGGGCAAUUCCAAUGAUCUUUGUGCCGAUUCCACUCUUGUCGGCGUCUUUCCUCUUCUCGGCGACGAUCUUCUUGCUGGCGACGGUACCGAUCUUCACGCUGUUGCCAUGUUUCUCGAUGCCGCCUAUGAGUGAUCACAAUGCCGGAUCGAGGAGGCCUCCCUGAGCUGCUACCCUCCUGAAUCAAGCCUUUGCCUUUGGUGUCAUCGGCAGUGAUCUGGUGCUGAGGAUCUACCGAUGCGCUCUUCUCAGCUCCUUCUAAAGUUAAAACUUUAGUUUUUCCCUUAGCAUCCAGCAUAUUUGUGGGGAAAGGGUGUUGAUCAAUCUUCAUUGGCUUUUGAGCUUUGGAGCUAUCAAAUUUAAUCCUCCCAAACUCUAUAGCCAAUUGUAGCUGUUGUCUGAACACCUUGCAUUCAUUUGUACUAUGAGACGUUGCAUUAUGCCACUUGCAAUACUUGAUCUUCUUCAACUCUUCUGCCGAUGGAAUCACAUGGUUGGGUGACAAUUUAAUUUGCCCCUCGUGAAGCAGAAAGUCAAAUAUCCUAUCGGCUUUUAUGAUGUCAAACGCAAACUUUUCUGGCUCUUUAUGGCUGAAAGGACAAGACAUCGGCUUUUUGUUCUUCACCCAUUCUGCCAAACCGAUGACUGGUUCUUCAUCAGAAUCUAAGCUCGUUACCUCAUCAACAAAUGACACUUUUUUGUUCCAAGCUUUCCUAGCUUCAAAAGCCUUGAUAUCUUGAUCAGAAAUCCUCUGCACCAAAUGACUUAGACUUUCAAACUCUUGAGACGCAUACUUGUCUUUGAUAUGUGGCAACAAUCCCUAGAAACCCAAAUCGGCUAGCUGCCGAUCAUCCAGAACCAGACUAUAGCACUUGUUCUUGACAUCCCGUAACCUUUGUACAAAACUUUCAACCGAUUCAUCAUUGCGUUGCCUCAACCUGACUAAAUCGGUAAUCUUUUUCUCAAGAACUCCAAAAAAGAAGUAUUUAUGAAACUGCUUCUCUAAAUCGGCCCAAGUAAUUACUGAGUUUGGAGGUAAUGAAAUAAACCAAGUGAAGGCCGAUCUGGAUAAAGAUGAUGAGAAUAAACGAACUCUUAACUCAUCUCUGUUAGCAGCUUCUCCACACUGGAUGAUGAACCUAUUAACAUGUUCCAUGGUCGAUGUGUCAUCUUGUCUAGAGAAUUUGGUGAAGUCUGGCACCUUGUACCGAUUUGGAAGUGGGAUUAAAUCAUAUGCAGGAGAGUAUGGUGUCUGAUAAAAGUAAGUAUUGACUGGGUUUUAUCCCAAACUGAUCCCCCAUUACUUCAGCUAUCUUAUCGGCCCAAUAUGCAUCAGCAUCCUGCCGAUGUGCGGGUUGUGGAUCUGGCACCUGCUGAUAAGCUUCCACGUA